rnacentral:lncRNA from 1 species
GACCCUGCAUUUUAAUUUAUUUGCAUGUUUCCUCUUCUGCCCAGCUAGAUUGUAAAGCCCCCCACAAGAGUCGGAAUAUUAAAACACUGCUACAUCCAGGGCCCAGCACAGUGAUUCAAGGUGGGCUGUCAGUAUUUGUUGACUUUGCUGGAAUGGAGGAAUGAAUAAUUGACUUCCUUAGGAAUUAAGCUCAUUUUUGAUAGAGGUGCAUUCCUUGGAAACCACAGUAGCUGAAAAGUUCAACAGAUACACAACAUCUGAGGCAGGGCAACUUUUUCAGAAAAGGUACUUUGGGGGCAGGUCUUUCUGUUCUAGAGCCUGCCAAUUUUUAAAUCAGUGUCAACUGUAACAAAAUCAUUGCAAUGUGAACAAGAUUGUUUCUUGGACUCCUCAAUUUAGGCCUGUGACCAGGGAGUAAGGAAGUAGCAUG